UGCAGUCGAGCGGACCGACGGGAGCUUGCUCCCUUAGGUCAGCGGCGGACGGGUGAGUAACACGUGGGUAACCUGCCUGUAAGACUGGGAUAACUCCGGGAAACCGGGGCUAAUACCGGAUGCUUGAUUGAACCGCAUGGUUCAAUCAUAAAAGGUGGCUUUUAGCUACCACUUGCAGAUGGACCCGCGGCGCAAUAGCUAGUUGGUGAGGUAACGGCUCACCAAGGCGACGAUGCGUAGCCCACCUGAGAGGGUGAUCGGCCACACUGGGACUGAGACACGGCCCAGACUCCUACGGGAGGCAGCAGUAGGGAAUCUUCCGCAAUGGACGAAAGUCUGACGGAGCAACGCCCCGUGAGUGAUGAAGGUUUUCGGAUCGUAAAACUCUGUUGUUAGGGAAGAACAAGUACCGUUCGAAUAGGGCGGCACCUUGACGGUACCUAACCAGAAAGCCACGGCUAACUACGUGC
rnacentral:rRNA from 1 species